UACGGGGGGAGCAAGCGUUGUUCGGAUUUACUGGGCGUAAAGGGCGCGUAGGCGGUCAGCACAAGUCAGUUGUGAAAUCUCCGGGCUUAACUCGGAAAGGUCAACUGAUACUGUGCGACUAGAGUGCAGAAGGGGCAACUGGAAUUCUCGGUGUAGCGGUGAAAUGCGUAGAUAUCGAGAGGAACACCUGCGGCGAAGGCGGGUUGCUGGGCUGACACUGACGCUGAUGCGCGAAAGUCAGGGGAGCGAACGGG
rnacentral:rRNA from 1 species